rnacentral:rRNA from 1 species
UACGUAGGGGGCGAGCGUUGUCCGGAAUUAUUGGGCGUAAAGAGCGUGUAGGCUGUUCGGUAAGUCUGCCGUGAAAACCUGAGGCUCAACCUCGGGCGUGCGGUGGAUACUGCCGGGCUAGAGGACGGUAGAGGCGAGUGGAAUUCCCGGUGUAGCGGUGAAAUGCGUUGAUAUCAUCAGGAACACCGGAGGCGAAGGCGGCUCACUGGGGGUUAUCUGACGCUGAGGAACGAAAGCCAGGGGAGCGAACGGG